rnacentral:rRNA from 1 species
UACGGGGGGGGCAAGCGUUGUUCGGAAUUACUGGGCGUAAAGGGCGCGUAGGCGGUUCGCUAAGUUGGAUGUGAAAACUCUGGGCUCAACCCAGAGCCUGCAUCCAAAACUGGCGGGCUAGAGUUCUGGAGGGGGUAGCGGAAUUCCUGGUGUAGCGGUGAAAUGCGUAGAUAUCAGGAGGAACACCGGUGGCGAAGGCGGCUACCUGGACAGAAACUGACGCUGAGGCGCGAAAGCCGGGGGAGCAAACAGG